AUUGAACGCUGGCGGCAUGCCUUACACAUGCAAGUCGAACGGCAGCAUGGGUGCUUGCACCUGAUGGCGAGUGGCGAACGGGUGAGUAAUGCAUCGGAACGUACCCGGAAGUGGGGGAUAACGUAGCGAAAGUUACGCUAAUACCGCAUAUUCUGUGAGCAGGAAAGAGGGGGAUCGCAAGACCUCUCGCUUUCGGAGCGGCCGAUGUCGGAUUAGCUAGUUGGCGGGGUAACGGUCCACCAAGGCAACUAUCCGUAGCGGGUCUGAGAGGAUUAUCCGCCUCACUGGGACUGGGACACGGCCCAGACUCCUGCGGGAGGCAGCAGUGGGGAAUUUUUGACAAUGGGGGCAGCCCUGAUCCAGCCAUGCCGCGUGAGUGAAGAAGUCCUUCGGGUUGUAAAGCUCUUUCGGCUGGGAAGAAAUCGCAUCUCCUGAUACGGGGUGUGGAUGACGGUACCAGCAUAAGAAGCACCGGCUAACUACGUGCCAGCCGCCGCAGUAA
rnacentral:rRNA from 1 species